UUUGAAAAAGUUACAUUUUACAGUUUGAAAUGAACAUGAAGACAUCCAUUUGAAACAGAGGAACGAGGUACAAGUACAGGAAGCUGUGACAGACACAUAACUUGUGUGGACCAUGGUGGUGAGUGCAGGAUCAAACCAGGGCCGAGGAAAUUGUGGAGCAUGGUGAUGAGUGCAGGAUCAAUCCAAACCAGAGGAAAUGUGAGUCUGAGAGACACUGGGAGAGGUCACAC